CACUGGUCGAGAGCUGGUGCCGCUCUCCUAACGAGUUCAAGACAGGAUGAAACUAGUG
rnacentral:sRNA from 1 species